rnacentral:rRNA from 1 species
AGCGAACGCUGGCGGCAGGCCUAAUACAUGCAAGUCGAACGGUGGCGCAGUAAGUUGUUGCUCUGAAGGGGUUGCGGACGCGUGCGUAACAGGUAGAUAACCGACUUUGUAUUGGGGGGUGAGUAUUGGAAAGGAUAGUUACUAUAGUACAGUAUUCGAUGUUGGGUGAAAUUUGCUUGAACGGUGCACUUUGCUCGAUUCAAGAUGCCGAUGUCGGAUUAGCUAGUUGGCGGGGUAAAGGCCCACCAAGGCGACGAUACGUAGCUGGUCUGAGAGGAUGAUCAGCCACACUGGAACUGAGACACGGUCCAGACUCCUACGGGAGGCAGCAGUGGGGAAUAUUGGACAAUGGGCGCAAGCCUGAUCCAGCCAUACCGCGUGGGUGAAGAAGGCCUUCGGGUUGUAAAGCCCUUUUGUUGGGAAAGAAAAGCAGCAGGUUAAUACACCGCUGUCCUGACGGUACCCAAAGCAUAAGCACCGGCUAACUUCGUG